rnacentral:rRNA from 1 species
AAUUUUGCGCAAUGGGCGAAAGCCUGACGCAGCAACGCCGCGUGGGGGAAGAAGGCCUUCGGGUUGUAAACCCCUUUUGCGAGGGACGAAGAUCUGACGGUACUUCGCGAAUAAGCCACGGCUAACUACGUGCCAGCAGCCGCGGUAAUACGUAGGUGGCGAGCGUUGUCCGGAUUUACUGGGCGUAAAGCGCGCGCAGGCGGAUCGGUCAGUCCGGGGUGAAAACUCACGGCUCAACUGUGAGAGGUCCCCGGAUACUGCCAGUCUUGAGGCACCUAGAGGAGAGCGGAAUUCCCGGUGUAGUGGUGGAAUGCGUAGAUAUCGGGAGGAACACCAGUGGCGAAAGCGGCUCUCUGGGGGUGACCUGACGCUGAGGCGCGAAAGCGUGGGGAGCGAACCGGAUUAGAUACCCGGGUAGUCCACGCCGUA